rnacentral:lncRNA from 1 species
GGGGCGCGGCGGAGUCGGGUUUCAGCGCGGCUGAGUCAGGGCGCGGGCCGAGCCUCCCGCGGGCCGCCGCCGCCCGGCUCCGCCUUUGUUCCUGCAGCCCCGCGAGCGGCCACCAGCGCCACUCCGCCUCCGCGCGCCCGGCGCCCCGGCAGACCCGCGGGAUGGCGCCCAGGAGGAACGGGCCGUGCUGGCGCCCGCUGCUGCUGCUCGCGGUCUCCGCGCUCCUCCCCGCUGUCACCCGGACCCGCUCCGCGACAGAAUUUUUCUGGGACUGAGAAUUCCCAAGAUUGCCACAUGGAAGCCCGGGCUGUGCCAACCUUGGCAGUGCAGAGCUGGUUUACGCAGGCUUCGGGGGCAAGCUCUCAGCCCCUCCCUGGAACCCCCUGGACACCACUUGCAAACCAGCCACCAGAUGGGGCUCUGGCCCAUUUGCCCCCCGUGGAACCACACCCCCAAACCUGGAGCGUCCC